rnacentral:rRNA from 1 species
UACGUAGGGGGCGAGCGUUGUCCGGAAUGAUUGGGCGUAAAGGGCGCGUAGGCGGCCGUAUAAGUCUGGAGUGAAAGUCCCGCUUUCAAGGUGGGAAUUGCUUUGGAUACUGUAUGGCUUGAGUGCAGGAGAGGUAAGCGGAAUUCCCGGUGUAGCGGUGAAAUGCGUAGAGAUCGGGAGGAACACCAGUGGCGAAGGCGGCUUACUGGACUGUAACUGACGUUGAGGCACGAAAGUGUGGGGAGCAAACA